UCGGGGAGGCAGUGAAACUGUUUUAAAAGGCUGUUUGAAACUGUACUCUUUUCUGCCUUUUGCAUUUAAGAAGUCUCAUGUGUACUGAACGUAAUAUGUCAUAAAGCAAGACACAUUAACACGUCAGUGAGGACAAUCAUUGACAGAAGUCCACCUGGAGGUAUUGUAGCUGUGUGGGAGCCCUGCGAUGACCACGCAGCCUUCUAGCCAUGCAGAAACCGCUCACCCCACAAUGCCCCCCCCGGUGCCUUCUGCGGCCUCCCAGCUCCACAUUCAGCGCCCGCUGUCCCGGGAGGCCAUCACCAUCCGUUUCACCCCGCUCGGGUGGUCGAUGCCGGGGAGCACGACAGCGACGACGACGACGACGACAAGGUUCACUGGGCCAGCGCCCCCGUGGCUGCCCGGGAUGGCCCUGGAGUUGUGACGGCUGUAGAGGCCGGCGAGGAGAUGCUGGAGGAGGCACUGCUGGACGCGGCGGCCGCUGCUUUCCCUGAGUCGUCGCCCACCCCCUCCCCCGCUCGCCGGCAGGCAGAGAACGACGUUGGCGUUCCCCGCCGAGAUGAAGGUCCUGAGCUCCUCCUCGUCCUCGCCGCCGACCAAAUCGGUGAGCCUCCCUUGUAUCGACAAGCCCCCCUUCAGCAUGAUAAAGUCUCUGUCGUCCGACGCAGAGCCCUCCUCCUCCUCCUCCUCCACCUCCUCCACCUCCCAUCUCCUGGAGAAGCACAGGCAGCUCAUGAAGACGCUGGUCAAGUCGUUGUCCUCCGACACGUCCGAGGGGUCUUCGGCUCCCUCCGCCGCCCCCCGCGCGUCCGACUCCCGCCUCAACCUGCAGCUCUUCAAGCAGUUCACCCAGUCGCGCAUGUCCACCGGUGGCGGCACCGCGGCGCCCUCCGCCAGCCAAUCGAAGACGGCGCCCUCCUCCCCGCUCACCGUCCACGAGAGCCGCUCCUUCUUCAACGUCUCGGAGGUGGAGGCCCGCAUCGAGGACACCAAGCGCCGCCUCUCCGAGGUGAUGUACGAGCCCCUGCAGAUCCUCAGCAAGAUCAUGGACGAGAAGAGUGUGGGCGGGCAGCGUGGCCAACUACAGGGCCUCCAAGGCCGCCUCCUCCGAGCUCGCCAACAUGUCAGCCUGUCGUCGCUCAGCCACUUGGAGAGCAACAACAACAGCUACUGCAUCAAGGAGGAGGAGGGCGGCGACUGGGACUUCGGACAGCCCCAACAGCGGGGCCUCCUGCAGCACCGAGGGCCCCGUCCCUUCCUCUGCGGACAACAACGGCAAGAGCCCCAGAAAGGCCGGGAGCUCCAUGGCGCUGGAGAUGUGUUUCCAUGUCCGCCCUGGCCAGGCUGGAGGAGGAGGACUUCUGCAUCCUGUCCACCGAGGACUUUGAGACCUGCGCGGAGGCCGAGCGGGAACGCAGAGACAGGAGCGAUUACUCCGAGAAGCAGCACUCAGACUAAGGCGUCGCCCAGACGGCGGCACGGAGCCCUGCAGCGACGACGAGCUGGAGCCGGACGAACCUGGGCCCGACGUGCCCGUCUACACCCUGGUGAUCGUCAACCCUGCUGGUGUACGGGUACUUUGUCCUCCCCCUUGCCCACCUACGUUGGAGGACUGCUGCUCGGGGUCGCGCUGGGCUUCUUUGUUGCUAUUGGCGUGGUGUGGCUGGCCGGGUUCCAAAGCCUUCUGGCCGUGGACUACAAACACUUGAAACACCAGAGGGCGCUGCGCAGUGUGGCCAAGUUAAACUUUAAAGAGCCUGAUCUCUUUAAGGGCUGGAUGAACGCGAUCGCGGCCUACGACCCCGAGACCUACCACGCCACCCUGACCCAGUCGGUGUACGUGCGUCUGGAGGGCUCCACCCUGCGCCUGUCCAAGCCCAACCACAACAUCACGCGCAGAGCCGAUGCACAACGAGCCCAAACCGGACGUGUCCUACAUCAGCCAGAAGAUGUACGACCUGACCGACAGCAAGGUCUUCCUCGUUCCUCACCCAUCAUGGCCAGGAGCGGCUGUGGAACAAGAAGUACCGCCAUUUGCAUCCAGCUGGCCAAGCAGGACGACUUCAUGUCCAAGGGCUGAGGGGGGAGCGCCGGACACCAGCAAGGACUCCACUGCCGCCGCCGCCGCCGCCGCCCCCAGGGGACAGAGCCGCCGGGACGGGCGGAGGGCAGUGGGGAAAGGGAAAGCCCUCCUUCUCUAGUCGGGGACCUCACCCUCUAUCUGUUUGGAAGGACGGGUCGGGAGAAAGAGGAGUGGUUCCAGAGGAUUCUGGUGGCUGCGCAGGGCAAGGGAGGAUGACCAGAGACGCCAGAGACUUUGGGUUGUGCCUCAGCGCUCGGCACCCUCAGCUCCAGCAGCCGCCGGGGCAGCACCGAGGAGGCUCCGGGGGCUCCGCCGAAGAACAAGGAACUCCCGGCCUCCUCCUCCUCCUCCUCCUCUGUCGUCACGCAGGUGGGCACUGCCAAGACCAAUUCCCUGCUGGACUACAGCGUCUACAUGACUUCCCUGAUGCCUGGCCAGGGGGCCAGCCCCGUCACUGCCAGCUCGCCUCUCCGCAGCCCCCAGAACAGCCCGGAGGCAGCCAAGAAGGUCCCCCGAGCUCUCCCUGCCCCCGCGGCCCCAGAGGAGGAGCAGCCGGUGGCCUGGCUCAACGCCAUGCUGGGCCGCCUGCUCUGGGACUUCCUGGGCGAGGCCCACUGGGCCGAGAUGGUCUCCAAGAAGAUCCAGAUGAAGCUGAGCAAGAUCCGGUUGCCUUACUUUAUGAAUGAGCUGACCCUGACUGAGUUGGACAUGGGCGUGGCCACUCCCAGGAUCCUCGGGGCCUCCCAGCCGUCGGUCGAUCACAGAGGCCUGUGGUUUGACCUGGACAUCGCCUACAGUGGCUCCUUCCUCAUGACCCUGGAGACCAAGAUGAACCUCAUCCGGCUGGGAAAGGAGGAGGACGCCCUGCGCAUAGAGCCCGGCAAAGACGGGUACAGGCCGCGUGCCUACUGCCUGGCUGACAGUGAUGAAGAGUCCUCCAGCGCGGGCUCGUCGGAUGAGGAAGACCCUUCUGAGCUCUCCUCCGAAUCCAUGGGCGCUGAAGGGUUCGUGGGUGGACACAAGCCCAGCAAGAUCAUGAAGUUCGUGGACAAGAUCACCAAGUCCAAGUACUUCCAGAAGGCCACGGAGACGGAGUUCAUCAAGAAGAAGAUGGAGGAGGUCUCCAACACGCCGCUGGUCCUGACCGUGGAGGCUCAGGAGCUGCGAGGCCGUCUGGCGGUCAACAUCCCCCCGCCCCCCACAGACAGGAUAUGGUACGGCUUCCGCACUCCUCCUCACCUGGAGCUGAAGGCCCGGCCCAAGCUGGGGGAGAGAGAGGUCACCUUCGCCCACGUCACCGACUGGAUCGAGAAGAAACUCUACCAGGAGUUCCAGAAAAUCCUGGUCAUGCCAAAACAUGGACGACGUCUGGCUGACCAUCAUGCACUCUGCCAUGGACCCCCGUACCUUCGGGGGUCCCCUGGCCCCCCCUGCGGCUGACCCACCCCCCUGCCUUCUCAGGCCCGCCGACGGAGCCGCCAACCAGCAUUGAAGAAGUAUAGGGGGGACGGGUUUACAGUAUUGUCCUCUGUGGUGUGGACGUACCCCGUGGCGGGGAACCGGAGCCAAAGCGCCGAGCAGGGUUUUUAUCCUGGAGGAGUCUGGAUGUUGCGGUGUAUCUUUUUGCUAAAGCUCAGUCCCAAGAAAACACUGAAGUGAAGCCAUUGUUUUGCUUGCUGCUCUGCACUCCCUUUCCUUAUUGACAAAGGUAAAGGUUAAUUGUCUGUGAAGGAUUUGUUUUUCAUAACCGUGACCUAUUGGUUUGGAGGUUGAUGUUAGAAGUGAUCAUUGCGUGGGUUGAUGAAGGGAAUAUAUAUAUAUAUAUAUAUAUAUAUAUAUAUAUAUAUAUAAUAUAUAUAUAGAUCAUCAUAUGAGAAUAUGAGAUAUGAAUACAUUAAGCACAACACCUGUGCCGUGAACACAACGUGACUUUAUUACGCAUUCACCAGAUACCUUACAGUCUUAAGAUGAACGGACCAAAUGUCCUUCGUUCGGCUGGGCGACGCGUACCGUGGUGCUGUUAAGGGUUCGUCAGGGAGCCGCAGGUGGGAACGGUUCAAAUGAGCAAUGGGUUAACCGCGGUAUCUGUCCAACAAGCUUACCUACGGUUAAUUAAUAUAGGGGAAAAAAAGAAUUCCUCGCGUGUGUUAAGUCAAGGGCACUGGAUGCGGAGGCACCUAAUGUAACAGUGUGCCGUGUCUCACGCGGAACACCCUGUGCGUUCCCCCCCUGCCAUCGGUAGUCUUUGAUCAGGUGUGAACCUGCAGUAUUAACUCAUGCUGUGACGCCACGCACCCGAAAAGCCCUCGACUUGCCAAGAUAAUUCCCUUUUUCCCCCGAAAGUUUCCACGCCAUCGGAUUCUGCGUGCCUCACAUACAGAGUAGUGCACGUCAUAAAAAGCCCCGCGAUGCAAAGUGAUGGUUAAUGGUGUGUCUUCGGGAGACCGUAAAUAUGAUGUCAUUAGACGAUGACCGCCGCGUAUGAGGACUAGGAUUUUUUCGUUUGGGGCAAAUGUGCUUUUGAUUGAAAGUAUGUCCAAGGCCAACCUUUUGAAUGUAUUCUGGGCGUUUCGGUUUUUUGUAAUUUAUGCAAAUAAGGAUGUUUAUAACCAAUCAGAGUUCGAUUGGGCCAUGCGGAUGAUUGCGUAAUUAGCAAGGGGUUUGGUUGACGCAAUGAAAUGUGUCUUCUAAAGAUGUGAUGUUAGACAUUCCUUGGCGGUUAUCGUUUUAGUAAUAUGAGUUCGUUGUUCCAACCAGGAGGUAUCAUUAUUUAUAAAGGAAUAUAAUUUAUGUUAAUAAACUGGCAGGUGUAUUUUCAACCACUCUAAUCCAACAACGGUUUAAAAUAUUCCGUCUGGUCAUGUGAUGUAUUAUACUUAAAGGAAUUUAACCACAUUUACAUUGCCUUAUGGUUCAUACUGUGUAGAAUAAUAUAAUUCGUUUUUUUUUGUAUUGGUUUUUCUUAACACUAUUCCAUUAGACGUUCAUUGUUGCGUGUGUUUCAUAACGCAUACCCUCUGGACGCAGGCUUCAAAGACAAUGGUUACAAUGCACAAUAAUAUCAGCAGUGAAUUUGUUUACAACUGUUCUGUUAAUUGCAUUUUCUGUUCGUUUUGAGCGACGCUUUCGUUUCCUUUCUGUGAAAAUUGACACUAUUGAUUUACGUGUUCUGUGAUCGACUACGUCAGCCUGGCUCUUCUUUAGGUUUGCGUCUAAUUUAAUGAGGGUAUUCAAAGAUUAGGUUAUGAUUUUGUUGUAUGUAUGUUGUUCUUGUAUAAUGUUCAGGAUGUUGUCAACUUUAUCAUGAUUAUUGUACCUGCCUCUUGUUUAUAGAACUUACAAUUCUCUAAAUAAAAAAAAAGUUUUUUUUUUUUUUCAA